AGGCGUUUCCGUCUCCUCGCUGGCCGUAGGCUCAUCAAACUUCCUCUCCAUGCAUUGCUGCCUCCUCUGCGCCGCCACGCCAUGGUCUCCACCAGCGUCCCUGCCGAGUACAUGGGAGCCGCCGCUGCCGUCGGGGACAAGGAUACACGUGGAAACCGCCGCAGCCUUAGGGCACGCCUGUGGGCUAGCCUAUGCCUACUGUAUCCGGUGUUCUGGUGCAUCCGGUGCGACCUCAAAGAAUACGUUCUUCUAGCUGAGCUUUGAGCUCCUCAGGGACGAUGCCUGGGGUGGAAGCAGCUCAACUACACGAUGAAAAAGUGAGUGAAGGGGUUAAGACGGUUGCGUUGGGCCUGCCCUGCUUACUUGCUGGUCGACCGAGGUUGUCCCUGCAGGGCACCUUAUCGGACAGCGCUGAACUUGUUGCCGGUGAUGCUAGGCACUGGGGGGAUAGCACGAACAGUAGCAUCGGCGGGAACGGCCUGACGAAGCAUUGUUAAAAGCCUUCAUACAGAAUAUAAUCUUCUAGCAUGAUAACAAUAUAAAUUAAUACAAAUGCAAUAAUCCACCAAAUGUAGUAAAGCAUUGUUACUGAAUAUAUAUUGUAAUCUUUGAUAAAUAGAGAGCUGAAA